rnacentral:lncRNA from 1 species
UGGGCUACCAAAUGCUGAAUCUAUGACCUUGCGUGGUGACACAGGUACAUUCAGAGCACUUGCGCUACCUCUGGAGAAGGGUUGUAUGAGGGGCUUGACUGGCUCUCAAACAACAUUGCAAAUUUUGUUCUGCUAGUCGUGGUGACACAGGUACAUUCAGAGCACUUGCGCUACCUCUGGAGAAGGGUUGUAUGAGGGGCUUGACUGGCUCUCAAACAACAUUGCAAACAAGGUGUGGACACACUCACUAUCACAUUUGGUUUUAUUUGUCACCUUUAUUAGCUCUAAAGUUCUAGUAACAUUCUUGUUAUUGCAGAGUUGAAUGCGAGAUCCAUGAUUUUUGCAGCUAUGUUUUUGUCAAUAUAGACUUCAACAAUGUCUAGAGCACUUAUGUACUUACUGAUCUUCUUUCGCGGGAUAAGUCUGCUUAUCCCUAUUGUUUUCAGUACGUUUGCCCUUUCUUUUAAAGAAUGGUACUCUGCAGCAACUUUAGGUUAAAAUUCAUGUAAUAUUUUACACUUUGGCUGACAUAUGCUCAAGGACUUUGCCUUCAACAUUUUAUUUUAAUUGAGAUUAAGGUUCUCUCCCCGUAAUUGAUUGGUUAAAGUUGGUG